rnacentral:rRNA from 1 species
GACGAACGCUGGCGGCGUGCUUAAAACAUGCAAGUCGAACGGGGUCCAUCCCUCCGUAAGGAGGGUGAAGACCUAGUGGCGAACGGGUGAGUAACACGUAAGGAACCUGCCCCGGAGACCGGGAUAACAGCGGGAAACCGCUGCUAAUACCGGAUGUCUUCAUCUGGCCGCAUGACUGGAUGAAGAAAUGGAUUCCGCUCCGGGAGGGCCUCGCGGCCUAUCAGCUUGUUGGUGGGGUAACGGCCUACCAAGGCCUCGACGGGUAGCUGGUCUGAGAGGACGAUCAGCCACACUGGGACUGAGACACGGCCCAGACUCCUACGGGAGGCAGCAGUUAGGAAUCUUGCGCAAUGGGCGAAAGCCUGACGCAGCAACGCCGCGUGGGGGAUGAAGGCUCUCGGGUUGUAAACCCCCUUUCAGCAGGGACGAAUUCAGACGGUACCUACAGAAGAAGCCCCGGCCAACUACGUGCCAGCCGCCGCGGUAA